UACGUAGGGUGCAAGCGUUAAUCGGAAUUACUGGGCGUAAAGCGUGCGCAGGCGGUGAUGUAAGACAGUUGUGAAAUCCCCCGGGCUCAACCUGGGAACUGCAUCUGUGACUGCAUCGCUGGAGUGCGGCAGAGGGGGGAUGGAAUUCCGCGUGUAGCAGUGAAAUGCGUAGAUAUGCGGAGGAACACCGAUGGCGAAGGCAAUCCCCCUGGGCCUGCACUGACGCUCAUGCACGAAAGCGUGGGGAGCAAACAGG
rnacentral:rRNA from 1 species